rnacentral:RNase_P_RNA from 1 species
GAGGAAAGUCCGGGCUCCACAGGGCAGGGUGCCAGAUAACGUCUGGGAGGUGAAAGCCUACGACCAGUGCAACAGAGAGCAAACCGCCGAUGGCUCAGUUUUGUAAGAAACUGAGAUCAGGUAAGGGUGAAAGGGUGCGGUAAGAGCGCACCGCGCGGCUGGUAACAGUCCGUGGCACGGUAAACUCCACCCGGAGCAAGACCAAAUAGAGGUUCACAUGGUACGGCCCGUAUCGAACCCGGGUAGGUUGCUUGAGCCAGCGCGUAAGUUCUGGCCUAGAUGAAUGAUUGUCCACGACAGAACCCGGCUUA